UACGUAGGGUGCGAGCGUUGUUCGGAAUUACUGGGCGUAAAGGGCUCGUAGGCGGCCAACUAAGUCGGAUGUGAAAUCCCCAAGCUUAACUUGGGAACUGCAUCCGAUACUGGAUGGCUUGAAUCCGGGAGAGGGAUGCAGAAUUCCAGGUGUAGCGGUGAAAUGCGUAGAUAUCUGGAGGAAUACCGGUGGCGAAGGCGGCAUCCUGGACCGGCAUUGACGCUGAGGAGCGAAAGCUAGGGGAGCAAACGGG
rnacentral:rRNA from 1 species